UUUUAGGGCUGUGCCUUCCUUUUUCUCUGUUCAGAACAAGGAGCCAAGCAUCUGGCAAAUUUAUCCAUAGCUGGAGGUAAGACUUUUAGAAAGUUUCACUAUAAAUGCUUUCAUUUGAAAAUUACAUGAUAACUCAUAUGUAUACACACUAAAACUCUUUGGCCUUUUGGCCCCAGUAGUUUUAAUUCUCUUGCAAAAUCUGCAUGUUUCUGGGUUUAAAAAAAAGAUGUCUAUGGACUCCCACAGUAUUCAUAAUGUGGGGGAAAACUUGCUUUUUAUUUGAACAUCAUAAAAAUGCUUAUAUUUGUUCCUGCUGUUUACUAUUUUUAUAGCUAAUGUUUUGGUACCAGCAUAUUCUCAAACUGGAAGAUCCUGGAGAGCAGUAUUUAGUCCUAUUGGGCUAAUUUGUGAUUUUUCUACUUAGAAGGGCCUUGAACAUAAACUUUUAAUAAUGAGAGUGUUUCUUAUAAGGUUUUGGUAAGAUCCAGGAACUCAUAUUAUCCUGAGAAUCAAGAGGGUGUUUCUGGAGUUGCUUCUUCAUUAUUAAUGGACAACCGUGAGGAAGUAUUUAAAACAUUCAUGUCAUCAAGUUUCUUUAAAAUUUAUUGAGGAAAUCGAUUCCAACUCCCACCAGAAGAGAUUACUGCUUCUGUCUCUGUAG
rnacentral:lncRNA from 1 species